GUGGGGAAUCUUGCGCAAUGGCCGAAAGGCUGACGCAGCGACGCCGCGUGUGGGAGGACGCCUUUCGGGGUGUAAACCACUGUUGCCCGGGACGAACACCCACUUUCGAGUGGGCUGACGGUACCGGGUGAGGAAGCACCGGCUAACUCCGUGCCAGCAGCCGCGGUAAUACGGAGGGUGCGAGCGUUGUCCGGAAUCAUUGGGCGUAAAGGGCGCGUAGGUGGCCCGGUCAGUCAGUGGUGAAAGCGCGGGGCUCAACUCCGCGUCGGCCAUUGAUACUGCUGGGCUUGAGCACUGUAGAGGCAGGCGGAAUUCCGGGUGUAGCGGUGGAAUGCGUAGAGAUCCGGAAGAACACCGGUGGCGAAGGCGGCCUGCUGGGCAGUAGCUGACACUGAGGCGCGACAGCGUGGGGAGCAAACAGGAUUAGAAACCCGUGUAGUCC
rnacentral:rRNA from 1 species